AGCGCUGAAGCUCUGAAGGAGCAACGAAUUUUUACUUCGUAGGUGAGUUUUCCAGUGUGA
rnacentral:tRNA from 1 species